CUCCACCCAAAAGACACAAACAAAUCUCUUGCUGCUUUCCUGAAAACGAACAAUGACUUGACAUGCAGGAAUCUUUACAGGAGUCAGAGAAGGUCAUUUGAAGACUAAAGAAAAAUAAAGAAUAUCAUCAUGUUCAGGAGAAACAACAAAGAGCAAACGGUGAAGCUUAAACUGUUCAGAUCCAUCAAGGAUGACUCUCAAACAUCUGCAGAUUUAAUUUCAGAACGCAGCUCAGUUCAUCAUAAGAGAUCAGAACCAGAGCCCAGCUGUAUCUCUAUGAAGAGUGAAGCAUCUAUGGGUGCACCAUUACAAUUUAAGAGUGGAGAUACACAACCUGGUUCCAGG